AUUGAACGCUGGCGGCAUGCCUUACACAUGCAAGUCGAACGGUAACAGGUCUUCGGAUGCUGACGAGUGGCGAACGGGUGAGUAAUACAUCGGAACGUGCCCGAUCGUGGGGGAUAACGCAGCGAAAGCUGUGCUAAUACCGCAUACGAUCUACGGAUGAAAGCGGGGGAUCGCAAGACCUCGCGCGGACGGAGCGGCCGAUGGCAGAUUAGGUAGUUGGUGGGAUAAAAGCUUACAAAGCCGACGAUCUGUAGCUGGUCUGAGAGGACGACCAGACACACUGGGACUGAGACACGGCCCAGACUCCUACGGGAGGCAGCAGUGGGGAAUUUUGGACAAUGGGCGCAAGCCUGAUCCGGCCAUGCCGCGUGCAGGAUGAAGGCCUUCGGGUUGUAAACUGCUUUUGUACGGAACGAAAAAGUUCUCUCUAAUACAGGGGGCGAAUGACGGUACCGUAAGAAUAAGCACCGGCUAACUACGUGCCAGCCGCCGCGGUAAUAC
rnacentral:rRNA from 1 species